AUACGGAGGAUGCAAGCGUUAUCCGGAUUUAUUGGGUUUAAAGGGUGCGUAGGCGGCGCGUUAAGCGUGAGGUGAAAGCUCGGGGCUCAACCCCGGAACUGCCUCGCGAACUGGCGUGCUGGAAUGCUCCUGCCGUGGGAGGAAUGUGUGGUGUAGCGGUGAAAUGCAUAGAGAUCACACAGAACACCGAUUGCGAAGGCAUCACACGAAGGGUUUAUUGACGCUGAGGCACGAAAGCGUGGGGAUCAAACAGGAUUAGAUACCCUGGUAGUCCACGCAGUAAACGAUGAUAACUAACCGCUGGGGUGUAAAUUUCAGUGGCCAAGCGAAAGCAAUAAGUUAUCCACCUGGGGAGUACGACCGCAAGGUUGAAACUCAAAGGAAUUGACGGGG
rnacentral:rRNA from 1 species